rnacentral:siRNA from 1 species
CAACAAGUGCAAUACGUGGUA